rnacentral:tRNA from 1 species
GAAGGUAUAGCUCAAGUGGCAGAGCACAUGCUUAGCAUGCAUGAAGUCCUAGGUUCAAUCCCCAGUAUCUCCA